GUAAUCAUUUGUGUUGUUAUCAUUUUGCGAUGUUAUCAUUUUGGACUAAAAUAUUAUUAUAUUAGUUAACAGUUAUCAUUAUCAAUGAUAACCUUUUGAAGAAUUCUUCAUGUCUUGAGACUGCAAGUUAAGAUAUGAUAUACUAAACACACUUAAUAGAUAUGCCAUUGAAAAGAUCUAAAAAAGUUGAAACUCCUGAUGGUUUUAAACAGAGGCAAAUCACCGAUUUUUUCAGAAAAUCGGCACUUUUAUCGAAUAGAAAUUUGGUUCCAAAACAGUUGUCAUUUUAUGGGGAAAAAUUGGUAGAUAGUCCUUGUGAAGUUUAUAAGGAGCAAGUCUUCAUGAAUAAGAGUUUACCUUCCAGUAUAUUUUCAGAUCGUGAAUCUGGUAAUUUGCAAGCCAGUAAGAAGAGAAGAUCAAGGAAAAAACUUGUAAUGACGGAAAGAAUUGAAGAUAGUCUUCAUACCAUUUGUGAGGAUCCAGUUUCCAUGGAAAGCAGUUCCCCUGUUCCUCAAAGUUUAGAUGAUGAUAAACCGAAAGAUGAUCAAGGCAACUGUAAGAAUAUCGAAAUCAAGUGUGUGACUAUUCCAUUCUCAUCAACACCUAUCCCGUCACUGAAUUUAAAAUUAACAUUAAAUUUUCCAAAGGAAAAUAAUUUGGACAAGAGUAAAAAUAAAAAAAUGAGGUUACCUUAUCCUUUUAGUUCAGAUGAUGAAUUCGAAACUCCGGAAAAGAGCAACAAGGAAAGAUAUAAUGAAAUUAGUUCAAUCCAGGAAACACCUAAAUCAAGUAGGAAUCACUUUCAAACAUCAGCUUCUGAAUUCGGAAGUUCAUCCAAGAAAAGAAAAGUUGAAUCGGAAGAUCAUCAAAGCCAUGGUGAUCACAUAGGUUUGAAUGGUAGUAAAACUGCUUCAUCACCUGAUAAAAUUGAAAUAAAAAAAUCUCCAAUGAGCAAAGGAGAAAAAGAAUCAUCGAUAUUAUUUGAAAGUAAUGAAACGAAAACGCAAGAAAAGUGCAAUAUGAAACAUACAGAACAGUUGAAGAUAUUAUUUGAAAAGAUCAUGGAGGAUGAACUUAAAAAAAAAUUAUUGGCCGAUGACAAUAUGGAUGCUAUUGAAAAGUUUUUGAAAAUGAAUAUAAAUUAUCAAUAUUUAAUAACGAAAAUGUUUCUCUACAAGCCAAUAUGGUAUAAUAUAAUGAAUUUUUGCAGUAGAAUAAAGCUUACCGAGAUAUUAUCUGCAAGGGAAAUACAAGGAAUGUACCAUGACCAAAAAAAUGACAGAUUUAUUGAUACUGAUCUCUCACAUCUUGAAACAAAACAGUUACUUUACAUGCUCUCAGUUGAAGAUUUGAAAAAUAUUGUUAAGAGUUUAAAAUUCGGUAAGAAUAAAAGGGGAUCUACGAGUAAAGAAAGUCUCAUAGAAUAUCUCCUGAAAAAUUGUAAAACACAGAUGACAUUAAUCAAGAAAUCAUCGGAAGAUUUAUUGAGAGACAAAGUAUUUAAAUACUUGGGUAACUGUGUAAAAUUAAAGGAUGAUAUAAGAACAUAUUUUGAUAAGGCGUACAUAUUACAGACAUACAGUAAUAUGUCUUAUUCUAAGGAUAUUAGAGUUUAUUUGGAAGAUAAAUGUUAUUUUGAUGUCGUUUAUCCCAAGUAUGUCAUAGAUAAAAUGACACCAUUCAAAACUGAAGAACAAUUUUCAAGCUAUUACAAAGCCUUUUUGAUUUGGAAGGAAUUAGAUGAUUCCAAAUUAGGUAAUUUUGAAAUUAAAAUGCUUUGUGACGAGGUUUUCAGAAAGCUUGAGUCAAUCGAUGAAGAUGCGAAGUGGAAUAGGGAUCUCCCCGCUCAUUUACGAAAAUUCUCUGCAGAAUAUCUGUACAUCAAGAUUUUGACAAAUAGCAUGCCAAAAUUAAACGAAUAUCCUCUUGAAGUCCACGGGUGGUUAAUAUUUUUGAUGAAAACCUAUCCAACAAGUGGUUUAAUGGGGCUUUGGUACAAGCACCUAACACAUACAAAGAUGAGAAAUUUGAAAAAGUAUGAAUCGGCUGCAGCAACUGUCAUCGAUGGAUUUGAAUCCCUUAACAAGAAUAACUUAAAUUUAUUACAAUUAUAUGAAUUGAGCUUGUUAUCUUAUAAACUGAGAACCACAAAAGUUUACAAAUUACCAGCUUUAUACAUUGAAAAAUUAGCUGCACUUGAAACACUUAUUGACAUUGAUAAGUUUCCUAAGAAGUUUAUCAAUGCAAGUACUUAUAGAAGUGGAAAUAAAGGAAAAAGAAUAUAUUCAUAUGAAGAUGAAAAUAAUGAGAAGAUAUGUACCAGUGUGGAGAACUUAGCUUUGAAAUAUUAUAAAGAAGAAGAACACUAUGAUGGCAUUAUCUGUGAAGGAAGAAUUGUCAGUAUUCUGUUCAACCUUCUUUUUUGGGAUAUAAUUUAUGAAUCUUAUGUAGAAGGGGCUUUUAUAUCAGAUUUACAAUGCGCACCGUUAGAUUUCUAUAGCAGCACUUUUUAUUCAAACCGAAAGGAUGUAAUCGAUAAGCGUUUGAAAGAAAUUGAAAGUGAAUGGGAAUUGGAGAAAUUGGAAAAUACCCUGAGAGAAAUAUGGAACAACCUCUGUCAAGAAAAAUCAAUUGCAAAUAGCAAAGGUUUCGACAUAGAGCAAAUCAUCAUAAUGUUUCAGUGUAUAAACAGAAAGUUUCUUUCAGCAAUUCUCGAACGUUUGGUUAUUAACUAUAAAGCAUUUCACAGUGGUUUACCAGAUUUGUUUUUGUGGAAAGAAGAUGAAGAAGGCCAAAAAGUGUGUAAAUUUGUAGAAGUAAAAGGCGAGAACGACAGGCUCAGGCCAAACCAAGUUCUGUGGAUCGAUUAUCUCCUUGAGGCGGGAGUACCAGUGGAAGUGUGCCAUGUUUCUGGCUACUGACUGGAAUUAUCAAAUUGUUUUUAUUAGUGAGUAAAAAACUGUGACAAUCGGUUCAAGAAAAAUACCUGACUACCACAUUGCAUUCAUUUUGUGACUGGAUUCCAGAAUUUCAAAAUACAGAAUUGGAAGAAAGCGUUGCAGAAGGUGUUGGUGCAAAAAAGAACUUUUUGAAAGGAGUUAUCCCUAAGAAUAAGUUACCAGAUGAUCAGGAAGAAAAUUGAAAAGGGAGAGAGAGUGAGAAAAUGUCUUUAAUGGCACAAAGCCAAGAGCCAUCGACCUUAGGUCCUUCAGCUCAGUACAAUUAACAUACACCACAUUUUAUUGUUAUAUUUUUCAUAUUUUAAUAAAAUAACGUUUUAUUA